rnacentral:tRNA from 2 species
GCACCGCUAGCUCAAUUGGUAGAGCAGGUGACUCUUAAUCACUUGGUUGGGGGUUCAAGUCCCUCGCGGUGCACCA